rnacentral:rRNA from 1 species
UACAGAGGGUGCGAGCGUUAAUCGGAAUUACUGGGCGUAAAGCGCACGUAGGCGGCUUUGCAAGUCGGGUGUGAAAUCCCCGGGCUCAACCUGGGAACUGCAUCCGAGACUGCAUUGCUAGAGUAUGGGAGAGGGAAGCGGAAUUUCUGGUGUAGCAGUGAAAUGCGUAGAUAUCAGAAGGAACAUCAGUGGCGAAGGCGGCUUCCUGGACCAAUACUGACGCUGAUACGCGAAAGCGUGGGGAGCAAACAGG